rnacentral:rRNA from 1 species
CUCAGGAUGAACGCUGGCGGCGUGCUUAACACAUGCAAGUCGAACGAUGAAGCCCAGCUUGCUGGGUGGAUUAGUGGCGAACGGGUGAGUAACACGUGAGUAACCUGCCCUUAACUCUGGGAUAAGCCUGGGAAACUGGGUCUAAUACCGGAUAGGAGCGCCUACCGCAUGGUGGGUGUUGGAAAGAUUUAUCGGUUUUGGAUGGACUCGCGGCCUAUCAGCUUGUUGGUGAGGUGAUGGCUCACCAAGGCGACGACGGGUAGCCGGCCUGAGAGGGUGACCGGCCACACUGGGACUGAGACACGGCCCAGACUCCUACGGGAGGCAGCAGUGGGGAAUAUUGCACAAUGGGCGCAAGCCUGAUGCAGCGACGCCGCGUGAGGGAUGACGGCCUUCGGGUUGUAAACCUCUUUCAGUAGGGAAGAAGCGAAAGUGACGGUACCUGCAGAAGAAGCACCGGCUAACUACGUGCCAGCAGCCGCGGUAAUACGUAGGGUGCGAGCGUUAUCCGGAAUUAUUGGGCGUAAAGAGCUCGUAGGCGGUUUGUCGCGUCUGUCGUGAAAGUCCGGGGCUUAACCCCGGAUCUGCGGUGGGUACGGGCAGACUAGAGUGCAGUAGGGGAGACUGGAAUUCCUGGUGUAGCGGUGGAAUGCGCAGAUAUCAGGAGGAACACCGAUGGCGAAGGCAGGUCUCUGGGCUGUAACUGACGCUGAGGAGCGAAAGCAUGGGGAGCGAACAGGAUUAGAUACCCUGGUAGUCCAUGCCGUAAACGUUGGGCACUAGGUGUGGGGACCAUUCCACGGUUUCCGCGCCGCAGCUAACGCAUUAA